rnacentral:rRNA from 1 species
CCUACGGGAGGCAGCAGUGAGGAAUAUUGGUCAAUGGGCGAGAGCCUGAACCAGCCAAGUCGCGUGAGGGAGUACUGCCCUAUGGGUUGUAAACCUCUUUUGUCGGGGAGCAAAAGCCGGACGUGUCCGGCUGUGAGAGUACCCGACGAAAAAGCAUCGGCUAACUCCGUGCCAGCAGCCGCGGUAAUACGGAGGAUGCGAGCGUUAUCCGGGUUUAUGGGGUGUAAAGGGUUCGCAGGCGGAUUUUUAAGUCAGCGGUCAAAUCUUGGGGCUCAACCCCAUCCAGCCGUUGAAACUGGGGAUCUAGAGUGUGCGAGAGGUAUGCGGAAUGCGUGGUGUAGCGGUGAAAUGCAUAGAUAUCACGCAGAACCCCGAUUGCGAAGGCAGCAUACCGGUGCACAACUGACGCUCAGGCACGAAAGCGUGGGUAUCGAACAGGAUGAGAUACCUUAGUAGUC